rnacentral:piRNA from 1 species
UAGGAAACGAAAAUAUACGCCACAUGC